rnacentral:rRNA from 1 species
AACGAACGCUGGCGGCAGGCCUAACACAUGCAAGUCGAACGCUCGUAGCAAUACGAGAGUGGCAGACGGGUGAGUAACACGUGGGAACCUUCCCUAUGGUUCGGAAUAGCCCAGGGAAACUUGGGGUAAUACCGGAUAAGCCCUUACGGGGAAAGAUUCAUCGCCAUUGGAUGGGCCCGCGUCGGAUUAGCUAGUUGGUGGGGUAACGGCUCACCAAGGCGACGAUCCGUAGCUGGUCUGAGAGGAUGAUCAGCCACACUGGGACUGGGACACGGCCCAGACUCCUACGGGAGGCAGCAGUGGGGAAUAUUGGACAAUGGGCGCAAGCCUGAUCCAGCCAUGCCGCGUGAGUGACGAAGGCCUUAGGGUUGUAAAGCUCUUUUGGCGGGGAAGAUAAUGACGGUACCCGCAGAAUAAGCUCCGGCUAACUUCGUGCCAGCCGCCGCCGUAAGAC